GAGCGAGCGGCCUGAGCAACCCCAGCCCGUGACACCACCCGAACCACGCGCCACUACAGCUUUCCCGGCAUGGGGCGGGGGGCAAAUGCGGGGUGCUCUCCAUCCAGAGAGAGCUACGUUGUCCGCGGCUACGUGGACAACAGAGCGACCAUGUUCCCUCUGCAGGUAUGCGCUCCACUGCUUAUGUAACCGAGCCGGGUUGCUCGCUUGCAGGUCUGCGGGUUUGCUGAGUGGCCUUUUCCGACUAAUGACCUUGGCCCCCUGCUGCCAUCCUUUUGGGUCCCCAUCGAGCGCUGGGUGCUCUGAGGACAGAUACGGGCGCACGCAGGCCGGGGGCGUGGACUACCCUGGGGAGCUUACAGUGGGGAGGUGCAGGUGGCAGGAAGCCCCCUGCCCGGCUGUGGUGCACACGGUAGCCCCUUAGGGUCCCUGUUGCUUCUGGUUGCCUGGGCAACAGUGGGCGGGGUGGGGGGACUUCCGGAAGCAUUGAAAUGCUGAGCUGGGUGAAUCCUUCCGUUUGGGAGAGCGGAGAGCCUCUUGGUAGACACAUUGGCUAGUGAUUGCUCGCACUCUACUGAAAUCCACGUUCUGCUUCUGCCCAUUCUGUGAACUUGGACCAAGGAGGAGGCUGGGCCCACGCUUGGGUCUGACCACUCUUAGGGUGGUCUGUCAUCCACAGAGAUGGGACUAGAACCACUCUGUACCUCCCGCAUGCUUGCUUCUAUUCCUAAAAGACAGCACAGUUUGCUGAAUUUGGCUUUGGAAGCAACCUGUUAGAAGGGCUUGUAGCCUUGUCUUCCCAGAGCCUCUCUCCUGUGAGGUGUGUAAUGAAUGAGGCUGUUUCUGAUUAUUUCUGAUAGGCGGUGCUUCCUGCUUGUGACCGGUUGCCCUUGGAGGGAACCAGGCUGUCAUGGGCAUUAGAAUGGAGGCCAGAGGCAAUGUCAGGCUGACUGGAGCGUCCUUGCCUGGCCGGUCCAGCAGGAAGAUUGGGCUGGCUUGGGCAGCCAGGUGUGGCCUCCUGCAAUGUACCUUUUUGGCUGGUCACUGAGCAAGGUGGCAGAUUUCUGCAUCCCUCCAGCUCAUGUCCAGCCACUGUAUUGACCCCCAAGGGGCAUUUGGAAGGAGCAGCUGGCUACCAUGGACCCGCAGGAAGGACCUGGAAGGAAGACAGGUGGCCAGAACUGCAUGUAAGGACACUCGAGGGCUGUCCUGAGUCAGGCAUGCUUGCCAGACAAAUAGAGCAAUUGAUUGUUAUUGUACAGCAUAGGAGAUCAAAGUCCGUAGGCAAGGGCAGUUGCUGAGUGUUUGAGCCCCUGUUGCUUUAUAAACAGUGCUUCACCCACACUG
rnacentral:lncRNA from 1 species